CUUUCACAAAUGGUUGAGACUCACGGACUCUUUGUGGUGCAGGGAGGGGUUGGCAGAGACCGUCUCAUUCUCAAAUGAAAGUCAGUAGACGCACAGAGUUAUCAAAACUGACAUUUCCAAAAGGUUUCAAUCUCUAGUUUAAGCUCCUUUGGGGACAUCUUGAAGACACCAUCCAUAGCUGUCAUUGACCUCAAGGAGAGUUAAGAAAAUACAGAUCUGGUGCUGAAACUGUGGUUGUGACCCUCACUGCAGCAAGGCUCCAAGGGCUGGGAGAACCAYUGAGCAGCUCUCGGAGGUGAGAGUUGCCUUCAGAGUCCUCUCAAACACCAACCUCGGAGACCUGAAAGUGCUGUGCUGCUCGUGACAGAGGAAUUCAGCAGGAGUAGAUUUGAUAACAGAUGGUAAAACUGCAAAACUGCCUCUGCUUCAUUAGAACCCCUGGCAAGACUCCUAUAGAAGGGGCGCUACAGAGAUCACUAAAGCACCGCGCAGGGCUCGCCCUGGGGCCAGCCAGAUUAUCAGGACGUUUGGUCCCAU